rnacentral:rRNA from 1 species
CCCUUAGAUGUUCUGGGCUGCACACGUGCUACACUGGCAGGUUCAGCGAGCUUCAUGCCCUGAUCUGAAAGGAAUGGGAAAUCUUUUCAAAACCUGCCGUGCUUGGGAUAGAUGUUUGCAAUUAUUCAUCUUCAACGAGGAUUGCCUUGUAAGCGCACGUCACCAGCGUGCAUUGAAUACGACCCUGUAUUCUGUACACACCGCCCGUCGCUCCUACCGAUUGAAGUUUUCGGUGAGUUGACAGGAGGAUUUUUUUGAAACUGGUUCGCCAGUGGAUUUUAGAUCCAAAUGCCAACGAAUCGAUGGCUUUAGAAGAAGGAGAAGUCGUAACA